rnacentral:rRNA from 1 species
AUUGAACGCUGGCGGCAGGCCUAACACAUGCAAGUCGAACGGUAGCACAGAGAGCUUGCUCUCGGGUGACGAGUGGCGGACGGGUGAGUAAUGUCUGGGAAACUGCCUGAUGGAGGGGGAUAACUACUGGAAACGGUAGCUAAUACCGCAUAACGUCGCAAGACCAAAGAGGGGGACCUUCGGGCCGCUUGCCAUCGGAUGUGCCCAGAUGGGAUUAGCUUGUUGGUGAGGUAAAGGCUCACCAAGGCGACGAUCCCUAGCUGGUCUGAGAGGAUGACCAGCCACACUGGAACUGAGACACGGUCCAGACUCCUACGGGAGGCAGCAGUGGGGAAUAUUGCACAAUGGGCGCAAGCCUGAUGCAGCCAUGCCGCGUGUGUGAAGAAGGCCUUCGGGUUGUAAAGCACUUUCAGCGGGGAGGAAGGCGGUGAGUUUAAUAAGCUCACCGAUUGACGUUACCCGCAGAAGAAGCACCGGCUAACUCCGUGCCAGCCGCCGCGGUAA